rnacentral:rRNA from 1 species
GUUCCUGGCUCAGGAUGAACGCUAGCUACAGGCUUAACACAUGCAAGUCGAGGGGCAGCAUGAUUGAAGCUUGCUUCAAUUGAUGGCGACCGGCGCACGGGUGAGUAACACGUAUCCAACCUGCCGAUAACUCGGGGAUAGCCUUUCGAAAGAAAGAUUAAUACCCGAUAGUAUAGUAUUUCCGCAUGGUUUCACUAUUAAAGAAUUUCGGUUAUCGAUGGGGAUGCGUUCCAUUAGAUAGUUGG